rnacentral:rRNA from 1 species
GACGAACGCUGGCGGCGUGCUUAACACAUGCAAGUCGAACGGAAAGGACCUGCCUUUGUGGGGUGCCCGAGUGGCGAACGGGUGUGUAACACGUGAGUAACGUACCCUUGACCUUAGGGUAACAUCAGGAAACUGGGGAUAAUACAAGAAAGGAGCUCUUGCUGCAGGGUGGGGGUUGGAAAGUUUCGCCGGUUGGGGAUGGACUCGAGGCUCACCAGCCUGUUGGUGGGGUAGUGGCGUACCGAGGCUUUGACGGGUAGCCGGCCUGAGAGGGUGACCGGCUUCAUUGGGGCUGAGGUACGGGCCAGACUCCUACGGGAGGCAGCAGUGGGGAACAUUGCACAAUGGGCGGAAGCCGGAUGCAGCAACGCCGCGUGCGGGAGAACGGCUGGCGGGUUGUAAAGCGCGUUCGACUGUGACGAAGCGAGAGUGACAGUAAUGGGUGAAGAAGCACCGGCUGACUACGUG